UCGUCGAGGAAUGGGUUCAGCUUGACCAGUGAACUGCGUGGUAGACCGGGCCGUCCUGCGGUGACAGCAGCUACCUCGUCAGGGAAGUGGAGCGCCUGCACCACUCGAAGCCACUGGAGUAGAGCGGCGUCUAGCUCGUCAGGAUGCAGCGGGCGACCAGAUGUGACUUCCCGGCUCGCCAGGUUGAGCCAUCGACGGCACCAAGCCGUAACGCGCAGUAGCCGAUGAAGUGCGGAGAACCGAAGAAGGAGGUCCGGUUCGAUGAUGACGGAACUCCUGGUUAUCAGGCUGGUGGUGCGUUGUUCCGGAAGGUCGUCCUCUGAGAUAUCGACCUCUGAGUUGGGCCACGCCGUUUCGUCCAGUGCCAACCAGGCAGGUCCUGUCCACCAUAAUGCGUGGUUGAUUAAUUCCCCAGGAGUAAUUCCUCUUGAUGCGCAAUCUGCAGGAUUGUCUUUCCCGGCUACGUGUUUCCACUGAGCGUCCGGGAGCUGUGUUUGGAUAUGAGCUACCCGGUUGGCGACGAAAGUUUUCCAGCGGGUGGCGUGUCCCUGGAUCCAAUGGAGCGUGACCUUGGAAUCGGACCACAGGUACACUGGAGUAGACGCCAAGCCGAGCGUGUUGCGGACAUGCAGUGUGAGCGUGAGUUGCGGAGGUAAACCGCUGCGGCGUAUCCUCGUUCGGAAGCGUCAGCGAAGCCGUGGAGCUGCAGCCUUGAGUGAUCGUCGUCGGUGCUGAGCCAGCGAUUAACUCGUAUGUUGCUGAGCAGAGGUAGCUGGUUCAGCAGCUGUUGCCAACGUUGAACAUCCUUGACAGGCAGUGGAGCGUCCCAGUCCAGCUGCUGAAGCCAGGUGGUCUGGAUCAGGAUCUUCGCCCGAAUCACGACAGACGCAAGCCAGCCCAUCGGGUCGAAUAGCCGUGCAGUCUCGGCGAGGACUCGUCGCUUCGUGAAUUCUGUGACUGAACGCGGAUGUAUUGCGAAAGCAAACCAGUCAUCUUGAGGAUGCCAUCGCAGGCCCAAGGUCGAAUGGCUCUCUCCGUCCCAUGAAUGCGGUCCUUGCUGCAGCCGAUGCUCUUGAGGGACUCCCGCGAGGACCUCGGAGUUAUUUGAGGCCCACUUCCUCAGUGGAAAUCCGCCCGCCGUGCACAGGUGGCGCAGCUCCGUCUGAAGGUUGAUGGCAUCGUCGAGGUUGUCUGCGCCGGUGACCACGUCGUCGACGUAGCAGUCACGUCGAAGUGCUGUGGCCCCUUGAGGAAAUUGCGUCCCCUCGUCUGCACAGAGUUGCCGCAGCGUUUGUAUGGCCAGGAACGGUGCACAAGCCAUGCCGUAGGUCACCGUUAGCAGCUCGUAUUCUUGGAUUUCGUCUGUCUUGUUGUGACGCCACAGGAUUGUUUGAAGACGGCAAUCCUCAGGAUGUACGAGGAUUUGGCGGUACAUUUUCUCUACGUCGGUGACAAAGACGUACCGGUGCCAACGCCAUCGCAGCAACACGUCGUUGAGCGCAGGCAGAAGAUUCGUCCCAGUCAACAGAUGAGAGUUCAGCGAAGUACCGGCCCGUGUGCGUUAAGAGCCGUUAAAUACGACUCGGAGUUUUGUCGUCGUGCUCGACUCCUUCAGGACCCCGUGAUGCGGUCUUCGAACUCCUGCAUGAAGCUGCGAUAGAGGUCGCCAAAUCGAGGAUCUCGGCUGCC